UAUUCNAUGGGCGCAGCCUGAUGGAGCGACACCGCGUGAAGGACGAAGGUCUUCGGAUUGUAAACUUCUUUAGACCUAGAUGAAGGCAACGGGGUGAACAAUCCCGUUGUUUGACAGUAUAGGUAGAAUAAGCCACGGCUAACUCUGUGCCAGCAGCCGCGGUAAUACAGAGGUGGCAAACGUUGUCCGGAUUUAUUGGGUGUAAAGGGCAUGUAGGUGGUCUUGUAAGUCAAAGGUGAAAUGGCCCGGCUUAACCAGGUCAUUGCCUUUGAAACUGCAGGGCUUGAGUACGGAAGAGGAAAGCGGAAUUCCCAGUGUAGCGGUGAAAUGCGUAGAUAUUGGGAGGAACACCGGUGGCGAAGGCGGCUUUCUGGUCCGAAACUGACACUGAGAUGCGAAAGCCAGGGGAGCAAACGGGAUUAGAUACCCCGGUAGUCCUGGCCGUAAACGAUGAGAACUAGGUGUUAGAGGUAUCCACUCCUCUAGUGCCGCAGCUAACGCAUUAAGUUCUCCACCUGGGGACUACGACCGCAAGGUUGAAACUCAAAAAAAUUGACGGA
rnacentral:rRNA from 1 species